CAACGUUCUCGGGGCGGGGUGCAAUUCCCCACCGGCGGUAUGGGUACUUGUAGUGCCUAAGCCCGCGAGCGCACAUCGUUUAACACGGUGUGGUCAGCAGAUUCGGUGUGAAUCCGAAGCCGACGGUUGUACCUGCAUGCAGGUUGAAAGUCCGGAUAAGAGAGAGCGGGA
rnacentral:ncRNA from 2 species